UUUUCCGUUGAUCCUGCCGGAGGUCACUGCUAUUGGGAUUCGACUAAGCCAUGCGAGUCGAGAGGGUUCGGCCCUCGGCUGACGGCUCAGUAACACGUGGAUAAUCUACCCUAAGGUGGAGGAUAAUCUCGGGAAACUGAGAAUAAUACUCCAUAAGUCUAGGAUACUGGAAUGUACUUAGGCUGAAAACUUCGGUGCCUUAGGAUGAGUCUGCGGACUAUCAGGUUGUAGUCAGGGUAAAGACCUGACUAGCCUACGACGGAUACGGGUUGUGAGAGCAAUGACCCGGAGAUGAUAUCUGAGACACGAUAUCAGGCCCUACGGGGCGCAGCAGGCGCGAAAACUUCACACUGCGCGAAAGCGCGAUGAGGGAAUCCCAAGUGCUUGCACGUAAGUGUAAGCUGUUUCUAUGUCUAAAAAGCAUGGAGAGUAAGAGCUGGGUAAGACGGGUGCCAGCCGCCGCGGUAAUACCUGCAGCUCAAGUGGUGGCCGUUAUUAUUGGGCCUAAAACGUCCGUAGCCGGUUUAUUAAAUGCCUGGGUAAAUCGGGCCGCUUAACGGUUCGAAUUCCGGGUAGACUGAUAGACUUGGGACUGGGAGAGGCUAGAGGUACUCCUGGGGUAGAGGUGAAAUUCUGUAAUCCUAGGGGGACCACCAGUGGCGAAAGCGUCUAGCUAGAACGGGUCUGACGGUGAGGGACGAAGCCCUGGGGCGCAAACCGGAUUAGAUACCCGGGUAGUCCAGGGUGUAAACGCUGCUUGCUUGAUGUUAGUCGGGCUCCGAGCCCGAUUAGUGUCGGAGAGAAGUUGUUAAGCAAGCUGCCUGGGAAGUACGGCCGCAAGACUGAAACUUAAAGGAAUUGGCGGGGGAGCACAGCAACGGGUGGAGCGUGCGGUUUAAUUGGAUUCAACGCCGGGAAUCACUAGU
rnacentral:rRNA from 1 species